UACGAAGGGGGCUAGCGUUGCUCGGAAUCACUGGGCGUAAAGGGUGCGUAGGCGGGUCUUUAAGUCAGGGGUGAAAUCCUGGAGCUCAACUCCAGAACUGCCUUUGAUACUGAGGAUCUUGAGUUCGGGAGAGAUGAGUGGAACUGCGAGUGUAGAGGUGAAAUUCGUAGAUAUUCGCAAGAACACCAGUGGCGAAGGCGGCUCACUGGCCCGAUACUGACGCUGAGGAGCGAAAGCGUGGGGAGCGAACAGG
rnacentral:rRNA from 1 species